GUGCCUUAAACUAAUGAGUAAGGAAAAUAUAAAGCUUUGGUGACGCUUAGCUAUGCUAAAUAAUUAAGCGACCAUAUUUUUGCAGGGGCCCAGGUCGUCCCAGGACUGCUUGAACUACUUUUUCGAGCGGUCAGGUGAAGCGAUCUACUCC